UAGCAAAAUACGCCGUACGCGAAACUGAUUUGAUUGAUUGUUUUAUUUACGUGACUUUAAAUAAUUUAUUCGCCACGUUAAACGGUGGCCAACAAUAUCAAAAUAGCGCCACGGCGCCUCAAAUAAAUCGGAAAGUUCACCAAGAAUCACCUGCUCUUGAAAAGCGUACAGCAGUUGAGUAUACUGCCAGUUUUGCGUGGUAUUAUCAACGACACGACCAGAAACUCAAUGAAAUAUUCCGAGGAAAAAGUGUCCCAUCCAUUUACAGCCAGUUACCAGUACAUCGAGUCACCCCUCGAUAAUGAGGAAAAUGAAUAUCUCGCGCAACACUGCUUCUAUUUUCGUAUCCAAGCAAUCGAUAAAGUUUAACGAAAAUAAACAAAAUUCUUUGGAAGAAAAAAUAAUGAGAGGUUAUUCAUUGUGUUAAAUAGAGAAUAAAAUUUAUUUAAUCUAAGAUUUAACGAAGUGAAAAGCAAUGAAUUGUACAAUUAACGUUAGCUGUUGCGUGCCUCCUCCUCUUCCAAUGCGCGAAAAUGCCAGGAAAUGUGAUAUUCAUGCCAAGCCUAAGUUUCAACCCGUUUUAACGUCACCACACCAUCGAUGCAGUUACUAAAAUGAAAAUGUACUAAACUCGGGAACCAUUACAAACAUGCUCGGGUUUAUGUUAGCGGUAAUAUUACGGAAAAUUCAUGCUAAUGGUAAUAAUUUCAUCGGACCAAAAUUGAGCGGAAGCAGCGCGUUCGAUAAUCUAAUGCCCAGAUGCAGGAUCAAAUGUAUAUCACUACUGACUCAGAGGAAAACAAGCAAACUGCUGAACAGGAUGUUUUCCAGUACAGUCGAUGAGAUUCACGUAGAGCGUAUGUGUGCAGAAGCCUGGUCGAAACACCGUAUAACAAGUGGUCGUCACUAACUCCAUUGUGAACAAGCUCAAUACCAAUUACUAAGAAGAAGCAGUAAUAGGGAUCUUUCAGAGUCAUCGAGUUAUUCAAUUUUCUGGUGCAAAUUGCGAACUCGUUUUGCUUCGGCCAUUAGGCGAAAUUUUACAUGUAACAAUAUCAACGUAUUACCGUACUUGGAUGUAGCACAAAUUAAAUCGUUUUCGAUUGUAA